rnacentral:misc_RNA from 1 species
UUUUCGUAGGUGAACCUGCGGAAGGAUCAUUACAGAGCUGCGACUCCCUCGGGAGUCAUCUCCACCCCUUGACUACCAAAUAUUGUUGCUUUGGCGGGCCCCGGCCCUGCCGUCGCCGGCCCCGGCUGGCGAGCGCCCGCCAGAGGCUUUUAAAAUCUUGCUUGCACUGAGUCUGAGCGGUACAAAAAAUGCGAAAAACUUUCAACAACGGAUCUCUUGGUUCUG